UUCUUAGUUUCUCUCUAAUAUAUCGACAACCAUGAAUCCAGGAACAACGACAUCCGUGUUGAUUUUAAUAUUCUCCUUGGUUAUUACUACAGACAUUUCACUAGUUGCUGAAGCAGUGGGUGCUGGAAAAGUAUGCUCACCGUUUGUCCAGUGCGAUCCUAACUGUUAUUGUGACAUAGUUAACAUUUGCAGAUGUUUUGCAGUUCCAUAUAAAUAUGGGGGUAACGUGGUCAAGCCACAAAAAUUUGAAAAUUUUGUAACCGGGGAUGUUGCAGAUAGAAUUAAUAGCAACAUCUAGAAGAUUAUAUAUGUAUUGAGUAAUGGUAUAUUUAAUUAAUGAAUGAUC